CUUGUCCAGUGGAAAAUAAGCAGGAGAUAAGUCUGUGAAAUGAAAGAAUGGAUUUGUAUCAGUCAACAGGAGAGAUGAACUAAAUCUUGCAGAACUGGAAGUCAUGAUUUCACCAACAUGAUCAUAAGCUGGAUAGGCAAUUUACUGACCUACUGUGGACUACAAUGACAGAUGUGAUGAUUUUUAGAACAAGAUUCAAAACCUGAGAAUACAGCACUUAUUAGUUUUCCUGCCUACCUGAAAUCAGGAAAUGAUGGCAUUUGAAAAAACAACCAACCAACCAACCAACCUAAUGUUAUGAGUUUGAAUUGUUAUUUUUCAGGUUUGAAUUGUUAUUGAUGUUUAUCCAAACAUGGAUUUAAACCUCCAAACCUUUUGUUGCUUUUUUCCUAUCUUUAAUAUGGAUGUGUCUUAUCUUACAAAAAAGUCAAAAGACACAGAGUUUUUCUGAGCUGCUAAUAAACCACUCAUGUUGAAACUCAAUAGGAAAACAAAGAAAGUAUAAAUACUGAAAAUAACUUAAAUUGGAUAACGUCAUAAGUGAAUCAAUAUUAAAGAAAAUUUUAAAAGUGAGAACAGCAGGAGAUAUUUCCUUAUGAAUUUUAAGAUAUAAGAUGAUAAUAUUUCUGCCAUUUAUAUAUUACUGAGCAUCAUUAUUUUCAAAUCUGGUCUUGCAGAAAGGUGAAACCACGUAAGCUUUUACAUGAAAGUUACUCCCAAUCAUGAAUAAUUUUCAGUUGCAAGAACAAGUGAGUCAUGUAAAGAUACAAAGGUGUGGUUCAGCACCUGUUCAUUCAUUCAAUUCAUGUGGCUUAUUUGAACUGAUGAGUGUGGUUAUAAUGGCAUUGUACCUAUAAUAUUACUUUGUUUUACUUUAGGGUAACAAUCUUUCGUAUUUGAUUAUUGCAAUGUAAUUAAUAAAUAGCUUUAUGAAGCUGUAAGUCAUACAUCAAAAUAUGUGCUUCACAAAAAAAUGAUGUGCUGUGCUGAUAUUGGAGGUCUGCAGAUGUGGCAUCUUUAGUUCCCAGGGGAAGGAGGCAUCAAAUCUUACAUCACUAAGAAGAAAUGCCUGGGUCCUGCUCCCACUGAAGAUUAUGGCAACAUUUCUACUGACUUCAAAAGGUGCACCAAUUAACUUCAGAGAGAACAGAUUGGAGACAGCCUAUAAGGGAGCAGAGUUCAGCUCAUCUGGAUGAAGAUUAUGCACACAGGUAGAUGACCUCCACAAAGUGAAGGAGGAUGAUUACCCAAUGACUUACAGGGCUAAAACAUUCAUCAAAAUGUUUUAACCUAAAAUUAGUCUUAUUCUUAGAUUGUCUUCCUUUUAUGUCAGUUUUUUUCUUAAAAAGGGAAAAAAAAGAAACGGAAACACUGCAUGUCACAAAGUUAGAUUCACAGGCACAUCAUGGAGGGCAUGAACAGCUCAUAU